rnacentral:rRNA from 1 species
UUGGAGGGCAAGUCUGGUGCCAGCAGCCGCGGUAAUUCCAGCUCCAAUAGCGUAUAUUAAAGUUGCUGCAGUUAAAAAGCUCGUAGUUGAAUUUCGGGACCAAUAUGUCGGUCGUGCCUCGGUACGUACUGGCAUCGUUGGUUUCUCCCUUCUGACGAACCAUGAUGUCAUUUAUUUGGUGUCAUGGGGAAUCAGGACUGUUACUUUGAAAAAAUUAGAGUGUUUAAAGCAGGCUCACGCUUGAAUACAUUAGCAUGGAAUAAUGAAAUAGGACGUUUGAUUCUAUUUUGUUGGUUUCUAGGAUCGACGUAAUGAUUAAUAGGGAUAGUUGGGGGCAUUAGUAUUCAAUUGUCAGAGGUGAAAUUCUUGGAUUUAUUGAAGACUAACUACUGCGAAAGCAUUUGCCAAGGAUGUUUUCAUUAAUCAAGAACGAAAGUUAGGGGAUCGAAGACGAUCAGAUACCGUCGUAGUCUUAACCAUAAACUAUGCCGACUAGGGAUCGGAUGAUGUUAAUUUUUUAAUGACUCAUUCGGCACCUUACGGGAAAC